GGCGAAUAAAACAAGCAAAGUAGAGAUAAACAGGAACUCAGAUGGAGCCAUAGGAGGUGUGUCACGCUACUUACGCUACUUCCAUUUCAGCCAUCUUGGAUAUGCGAUGUAGACAAAGCAGCUAAGCAGGAAGCUGUUAGAGGGAAGCUGAUGUGUUAGAGGGAAGCUGAUGUGUUAGAGGGAGGCCGAUGUGUUAGAGGGAAGCUGAUGUGUUAGAGGGGAAGCUGAUGUGUUAGAGGGAGGCCGAUGUGUUAGAGGGAAGCUGAUGUGUUAGAGGGGAAGCUGAUGUGUUAGAGGGAGGCCGAUGUGUUAGAGGGGAAGCUGAUGUGUUAGAGGGAAGCUGAUGUGUUAGAGGGAGGCUGAUGUGUUAGAGGGAGGCCGAUGUGUUAGAGGGGAAGCUGAUGUGUUAGAGGGGAAGCUGAUGUGUUAGAGGGAGGCCGAUGUGUUAGAGGGAGGCCGAUGUGUUAGAGGGAGGCCGAUGUGUUAGAGGGGAGGCUGAUG
rnacentral:lncRNA from 1 species